UGGGGAAUAUUGGACAAUGGGCGCAAGCCUGAUCCAGCCAUGCCGCGUGAGUGAUGACGGCCCUAGGGUUGUAAAGCUCUUUUACCUGGGAAGAUAAUGACGGUACCAGGAGAAUAAGCCCCGGCUAACUUCGUGCCAGCAGCCGCGGUAAUACGAAGGGGGCUAGCGUUGUUCGGAAUCACUGGGCGUAAAGCGCACGUAGGCGGAUAAUUAAGUCAGGGGUGAAAUCCCGAGGCUCAACCUCGGAACUGCCUUUGAUACUGGUUAUCUUGAGUCCGGGAGAGGUGAGUGGAACUGCGAGUGUNNAGGUGAAAUUCGUAGAUAUUCGCAAGAACACCAGUGGCGAAGGCGGCUCACUGGCCCGGAACUGACGCUGAGGUGCGAAAGCGUGGGGAGCAAACAGGAUUANAUACCCUGGUAGUCCACGCCGUANAC
rnacentral:rRNA from 1 species